rnacentral:ncRNA from 21 species
GCUUGCUUUUUCUCCGGUGGCCGCUAGAGUGUGGUUUGGAAGCUGUCCGGGGUGGUGUCGAGGGAAGCCGGUGCGAGUCCGGCGCGGCCCCCGCCACUGUGACCGGGGACGGACCGCUCACACAGCCACUGGGCGCCCGGGUCGAAAGGCCUGACGCCUGGGAAGGCGAGCGGUUCCGGAUGAUCCGGGAGCCAGGAGACCUGCCAUCCCGAGCGGGAAACGG